UACAGAGGUGGCUAGCGUUGUUCGGAUUCAUUGGGUGUAAAGGGUGCGUAGGCGGUUUGAAAAGUCGGAUGUGAAAGCCCACAGCUCAACUGUGGAAAUGCAUCUGAAACUUUCAGACUAGAGUGCGAGAGAGGUGAAGGGAAUUCCCGGUGUAAGGGUGAAAUCUGCAGAGAUCGGGAGGAACACCAGUAGCGAAGGCGCUUCACUGGCUCGUAACUGACGCUGAGUGCACGAAGGUAUGGGGAGCAAACGGG
rnacentral:rRNA from 1 species